GCAACACGACAGGGGAGCGCCGCAGACGGGCGCUGAGAGUGCAACGCAGACCCUCGAACCUGAUCCGGUUAGUACCGGCGUAGGGAGUCGAAAUAUGUUUUCU
rfam:Rothia dentocariosa ATCC 17931, complete genome.